rnacentral:lncRNA from 1 species
AUGAAACACAGAGUUACAAUCGAUUUUCAAAAAGCAAGUGGGAAGAAAGAUGCUGUGCAGAGAGAAGUAAACAUCAACAAAACCAUCAAUAAUGUCAUUAGGAGGAAGCCACCAGAGAUUACACUUCAUCAAAACGAACACGUAAACCAAGAAAGCGGGAGACACGUAAUCCAGAAAGCAGAGAAGUCACUGCAGGAUGGAAGAGAAAGGAAGUCCUGGGUGAUAGCUGCCCAGCCAGAUGCAGAAGGUCAGCAGCCCAGGCUGGAGAUCGGCAGCUCCAGAAACACUUCAAGAGGCAUCGUGCAAGGUGCUGGGAAUAAAAGGACUGACUAUGACGAGAUGACUGUCCUCCAGGAGCACCGAGUCACUUGCAGACAGACGCACGUUGCGCGAGAGAACAAUCCCUGAACGUAAGUAACUGUUUUUUCCCACUAUCGUUUCUCCACAUGCUACUCAUUAGAAGUGAGUCACUAAGUGCAGCCCACACUCACGGAGGGGAGACUUGAUGGGAGGAACAGCAAAGCAUUCGUGGACUAUUUUAAAACCAUCACAGUGGGGAUGGGGGACCAAACACGGGGCCAGCUAACAGCUGCUGGGUCCUGAUCCGUCACUACUAAGCCCUGUGAUCCUAGAAGAUUCACUUGUUCCCUGGGCUCAGUGUCUCUCGUGCGGUUUGGAGAUACUGCUGCUGUAUGUGUCGCAGGGCGAGUUGCUCAACUCAGCAGGGAGGCAGAUAGCAACUGAGUCAAGAAUGUGGGCUUCGGAAUCAAAUCCCUGCCUCACCACGUCAUGUCUCUGAGCCUCAGUUUCCCCACCUGUACCAUUACCUCCAUGCCAGGGUUGCGGAGACAUAGACUGAGGCAAGUAUGUGCAGAGAGCUGGUCUUGCCUGAGUUUAAGCUGAGCCAGUCCAGAGACACCUAUUUGCUGGAGAAGCCUCUUUGCAUAUAACGCAACCGAUGCAAGAGCAGGCUGGAGGAGACCUGCUCCCCAUCACCUGCAGGUUCUUGUGACCGCACAGGAAGCCAGCCUCCACCUUCAUCAUUUCCCCCAACUCGGCUGCCUUCUGGGGACAUGACCAGAAUUUGGGAUCUGGGGGAAGAAUUCAGCUGCUCCUGGGAUUAAAAGCAUCACCCCAGACUGAAGCCAAAGGCACCCUUCCCCAUGAUCUCUCACUACUUGGAGAUACAUUCAAAUCGAUGUGGUCACAUGGCCCUGCUCAAGCCCUGGUGGCUUGGAACACUCUGGAAGCCACCUUUCAGAGUGCACCUGGAGCACACGGGACCAGAGGCCCAGCUUUAAGAAGAAUGCUCAGCUCAGGACUGGGUGCUCCAGUCUCAGAAUCAAACUUAAAUCAGUUUUAAGCCAUGAUUUCUGGGCGCCCAGUCUUUGGGGAUCUUCAAGCUCUUUCUGGAAGGGGAGUGGUAUAUCAGUGGCAGGAUAUUCUGUUAGGGCUCUAAUAAGUCCCAGCAGCCCUGUUCCUCUGGAGCCAGCUCCGGGUCUCGGGGCUUGCUCUGAAGCAGGCUCUGUAAGGCAGGGUGCUGCUGGAAAGUGGAAAUGUGCAGGAAGCCACCUGCCAGGAUGUGCAGUUCACUCACAGCUCCUUGGGCAAGUCCCUGCUGGAGAGGCUUGACCCUCCUGUAACCCACGAAGCCUGAUUUUACCCUCCUGUGGAGAACGUUUGACGACAGAGCUGCUUGUCCAUUGCACUGAGCAAAUCCUCCAAGGUCUGCAGGCUACUCCCAGGCAAGGCUGCAUGGCUGAGCCAUAACCCCCAGUAUCUCAGAACCUGACUGUGUUGGGAGAUGGGGCCUUUAAAGAGGUAGUGAAAAUAAGAUGAUUCGAGUGGGGCCUUAAUCCAAUCCCAUGGGCAUGUGUAGAAGAAAAAGAGGUUAGGACGCACAGAGAAACGCGGGGGCAUGCUGGCACGCAGCAAACACCAUGUGCAGACACAGGCAGAAGACGACCAUCUGCCACGGAGAGAGACCUCCCCAGAAGCCAACUCUGCCAGCAUCCCGUUCUCAAGGUCCAGCCUCCAGAACCACGAGAAAAUACGUUUCUAUUGUUCAAGCCCCGCAGUCUGUGGGAUUUUGUUAUGGAAGCUCCAGUAAACUAAUACACGCACCAGCAAAAUUUGUCUCCUGAUUAUCCCAGCUACAUAAGUCAUUGCAUUUCCAUUGUUGCCAUGGAUGCCAGGGAGCUCAGAGCAAAAUGAUCAGUUAUACUGACCAUAUUGUCUGGAGCAAGUUAGUAUGUUCUGGGGACAUGAUCCCUCCCCAGAAAAACCAGCCGAGCCGCAUCCAGGAAUGAGGUGGCAUGAAGAGACUGCUGUGGGUCUGACUCCUCUUCUCAAUGGAGCAUGGACUGUGGGGCACAAAGAGGCUGCUGUGGGUCUGACUCCUCUUCUCAGUGGAGCAGGGACUCAGCACUCUUUUGGGCCAUGUUGUUAAGGCUGUGCUUCAUUUUACUGACCUGGAGAAACGUGUCUACGGACCUGGUACAGAGCUCUGGUCCAAGGCUGCUUCCACAUGCCGAUGCCUGGCUGACUUCAUCUGUCCCCUAAAGCAAAGAGGUUGGAUCUGGAAGCCCCACGUAGCAAAUUCUUGGACCCCCUGCUGUAGGAAGUCCCCAGGGAUGGCCUGCCUCCACAUUCCAAGCCACAUGAAGCUUCUCAUGAGAGCAGAUGAGCACAGGCUUUGGUACAGGCAUGUAGCUGUCGGUCUGGUGAACGUCAUCUGUUCCAUACCCGUCAGAAGGAGAGUCAGAAGCAGCUUGCAUUCAUGUGUGAUGGACAAAAGCAAGCAAUCAGCCUCGCCCUGGGGUAGGCUGACUCUCCUGUCCUCUGAUACAAUAUGGUCUUCAGGAAGGGGAUGGGACUGUAUGAACUUUCUGCAGAGUAGCUCACUGGUCCAUUGUGUUGGUGACACCAUGGUAGGUAACCAGACGUGAAGAGCAGGAAGUGGCAAGUACUCUUGAUGCCACAGAAGAUGCGUUCUCUGGAGGGUGGGAUGUAAACCCUAGAGGGAUUCAGGGGCCUGUCCUGUUUGUAGUGUUUCUAGGAGCCCAGUAGUCUAGGGCAGGAUGGGCGACCCUUCCAAAUAAAGGGUGAGUUGUUCCACCUUGAACUUCUAAGUCUGAGAAGAAAAAAAGAGCUGGGCGUGGUGGCUCACACCUGUGAUCCCAGUACUUUGGGAGACCAAGUGGGCGGAUCAGGAGGUCGGGAGAUUGAAACCAUCUUGGACAACAUGGUGAAACCCCAUCUCUACUAAAAAUACAAAAAUUAGCCAGGCAUGAUGGCGGGCACCUGUAGUCUCAGCUACGUGGGAGACUGAGGCAGGUGAAUCGCUUGAACCUGGGAGGCAGAGGUUACAGUGAGCGGAGAUUGCGCCACUGCAUCCCAGCCUGGUGACAGAGUAAGACUCUGUCUCAAAAAAAAAAAUGAG